GCUGGGUGUGGUGGCUCACACCUGUAAUCCCGGCACUUUGGGAGGCCGAGGCAGGUGGAUCACCUGAGGUCAGGAGUUCGAGACCAGCCUGGCCAACAUGGAGAAACCCUGCCUCUA
ensembl:misc_RNA Metazoa_SRP Metazoan signal recognition particle RNA